rnacentral:rRNA from 1 species
AUGACGGCGACGGGCCUUCGGCUCGCUUCAAUGCUUGUAGUCAUUGCUAGGUGGUUUACGGACCUAGAUGUAAUUUUUAUCAUUUCUGACGUUCAUUGUAUUGCCAUGAGUGUAAAGAUGAAUAGAUUUGAAGUUUUCUCCUUAAAAAAAAUCAACUGGGCACGGGAGGAUGAGCAGCAUCCAUCCAUCGACCGAAACCAAUCCUGGAUGGAUUCCGGGGAAGGGAAAAAGAAGCGGGCGAGACAGGCUGAUGCGGCCCUCACGUUGGGAGAUCUCCAAAGGCUGCUCCGAAUUCGGCAUAUGCGUGGUGCUACGCUACGCCUCAUCAUCAUGUCACAUCACAACUUGCAAAUUAAGCAGCAUUUCGUAGCAACCCCAUGA